rnacentral:rRNA from 1 species
UGGGGAAUCUUGCGCAAUGGCCGAAAGGCUGACGCAGCGACGCCGCGUGAGGGAUGACGGCCUUCGGGUUGUAAACCUCUGUUGCCCGGGACGAACAACACCAUUCGUGGUGUCUGACGGUACCGGGUGAGGAAGCACCGGCUAACUCUGUGCCAGCAGCCGCGGUAAUACAGAGGGUGCGAGCGUUGUCCGGAAUCACUGGGCGUAAAGGGCGCGUAGGCGGUCUGCUAAGCGUGUGGUGAAAGCUCGGGGCUCAACCCCGAGUCGGCCAUGCGAACUGGUGGACUGGAGCAUGUCAGAGGCAGGCGGAAUUCCGGGUGUAGCGGUGGAAUGCGUAGAGAUCCGGAAGAACACCGGUGGCGAAGGCGGCCUGCUGGGACAUUGCUGACGCUGAGGCGCGACAGCGUGGGGAGCAAACAG